AGCAAAGGGAGGUAGCAUAAGGUAUUGACUAAAAGGGUGCCAAUAAUUGUUGCACACUUAUAUUUAACAAAGAUUUAUUUUUGGAUAAACCUGUGUUGUGUUUGCAAUUGUUUGAUAGCUGUGAGAGCAGAGUAUUUUUGUGAAUUUUUCAAGCAAAAGAUUAAACAAUAAAGAGAAUUUUUCACAGCCUUCUUUGCUCAUAUUUACCAUAUAAGGGUGCCAAUAUUAGUGGAGGGCUGUGCAUCUUGUGGAGGAUGGAAAGUGCUAAAUGAUAUAAUACAUAUAUAAAUAUAUUAAUCAAUACAUGUUAAAUCAAUAAGUGUGAUUGAUUGGUUAAUGUAUUGAUUGAUGAGUUUAUUGAAGGACAUGUUGGAUAUAUUAUGAUUUAAUAUUGAGACUGUUAACGACGGUGUCAUGUAAGGGAGGCGCGGACGCAAGCAAGUGCAGGUUAGGGCGUUUAAUCCAAAAACAACAAGUCCAAAGGGUAAUGCAAGAAACCACAACGAUAAACAGGGAAGGGUCAUACGAUCAGGCAAACAGGUCAAACGGGCAAGGCAGAGAAUCGAGGUCAGUGGAGUAAACAAUGUCAAAAGCAGAAUAUCAGAACAGUAAAUAAGGCUUGGGAACGACAGAGACGGUAUCGACUGAGUGUAAUACUUCACUCAGACACCGUGUGGGAAUGGUCUCGAUACGAGAGCGGUAUACAGACAUGGUGAACGUGUGUGCGAGUUUGGGAGUUAGUAGUUCGUGGUGCAUUCUGGGAAAUGGAGUCAGCAGGUUUGCUUUGAUAUGAUAGAUGGAUUAUUAAAUCUUUUUAUCCUCCAUAUUUUAAAAUAAAAUAAUAAUGUUUUAAAUAAUAGUAACCUUAAAUGCAGUAAAAAAUUUUUUUGAAAAUUAAAAAGCAACAAUGUAAUGUCUGAAAUAUUAUUAUUAUUAUUAUUAUUAUUAUUAUUAUUAUUAUUAUUAUUUCUAAAAUAUUCUGUGUUGUUGUUUUGCUGAGUUUUAGAGGCUGUAAUCAUCUCUAAGGAUCCUGUCGUAAUGGAGGCCAAGCGGCAGGAAGAGUGAAAUAAAUCGAUGAUCUCCAUCAUGGCAGCGUCACGGUGCAGUCGGGCGUGUACGCAGCGAGGACGUCUGAGUCACCGUCCGGAACGUCCAGCGCUAUUCAGAGAUAUCAGUGAAAACGAACCAACAAAAAAAAAACACCAUAGUUUUAUUGUUGAACAUCAUGGAAAAAGUAGUUUGUUGGAAUUUGUUAAUUUUUCUUCUUAAAAUCU
ensembl:lncRNA